AGCGGCGGACGGGUGAGUAAUGCCUAGGAAUCUGCCUGGUAGUGGGGGACAACGUCUCGAAAGGGACGCUAAUACCGCAUACGUCCUACGGGAGAAAGCAGGGGACCUUCGGGCCUUGCGCUAUCAGAUGAGCCUAGGUCGGAUUAGCUAGUUGGUGAGGUAAUGGCUCACCAAGGCGACGAUCCGUAACUGGUCUGAGAGGAUGAUCAGUCACACUGGAACUGAGACACGGUCCAGACUCCUACGGGAGGCAGCAGUGGGGAAUAUUGGACAAUGGGCGAAAGCCUGAUCCAGCCAUGCCGCGUGUGUGAAGAAGGUCUUCGGAUUGUAAAGCACUUUAAGUUGGGAGGAAGGGCAUUAACCUAAUACGUUGAUGUUUUGACGUUACCGACAGAAUAAGCACCGGCUAACUCUGUGCCAGCAGCCGCGGUAAUACAGAGGGUGCAAGCGUUAAUCGGAAUUACUGGGCGUAAAGCGCGCGUAGGUGGUUUUGUAAGUUGAAUGUGAAAUCCCCGGGCUCAACCUGGGAACUGCAUCCAAAACUGGGCAGCUAGAG
rnacentral:rRNA from 1 species